UUCUAAGAACUUCCAAUCUUUUUAAUAAACCAUUCACUAUAUGCUCAUCAUUGAAACUUACAAAGAUCACUAGGUAUUUGGGUAAGGUCAAUAUUAUAAAUGACAACAAUUGAAAUAUAAGAUAAGGAGACGUUCUUCGCCGAGAGUUGCGCAGUUUCCUGCUUCAACAGUGCUUGGAUGGAACCUGGCACUCGACCGGCAUUCCGGCAGGCGCUCACAUCCAGCCUCCCCACACCUCCUCACCGCGCCCUCUGACGGUCCCAAGGACCCCACCGCCUUCCAGCGCUGCGCAGCCGCCUCUCCUCAGCCACGGCCAUGACCACCGCAUACCCACCGCAGGUGCGCCAGAACUACCACCAAGACUCGGAGGCCACCAUCAACCGCCAGAUCAACCUGGAGCUUUACGCCUCCUAUGUCUACCUGUCCGUGUCUUACUACUUUGACCGCCAUGAUGUGGCAUAAAAGAAUUCUGCCAAAUACUUUCUUCACCAAUGUCAUGAGGAGAGGGAACAUGCUGAGAAACUGAUGAAGCUGCAGAAUCAAGGAGGUGACCAAAUCUUCCUUCAGGAUAUAAAAAAACCCAGACUGUGAUGACUGGGAGAGCAGGCUGAAUGAGAUGGAGUGUGUGUUACACUUGGAAAAAAGUGUGAAUCAGUCACUACUGGAACUGCACAAACUGGCCACUGACAAAAAUGACAAAAGUGACUUCAUUGAGACACAUUACCUGAAUGAACAGGUCAAAUCCAUUAAAGAACUGGGUGGGACCAUGUAACCAACCUGUGCAAGAUGGGAGCCCCUGAAUCUGGCAUGGCAGAGUAUCUCUUUGACAAGCACACCCUGGGAGACAGUGAUAAUGAGAGCUAAGCCUUAGGCUAACUUCCCCAUAGUCAGGGGGUAACUUCUGUGAUCACCAAGGCAGUGCAUGCAUGUCGGGGUUUCCUUUACCUUUUCUAUAAGGUGUACCAAAACAUCCACCUAAGUUCUUUCAUUUGUACCAUUCUUUCAAAUAAAGAAAUUCGGUACCCCCCCCCCCCAAAAAAAAGAUAAGAUAAGAAGAAAAAUAUGAAACAGAAACAUAUUUUUCUGGAAAUCUUUCAAAAUGUAAAAGAAAAUAAAGACAUGGAUAAUAGGAAAUAUUUUAUUUUAAAAAUUAGAGGAUCACCACAAUGCCAUCACUAGGCAUCUACUCAGCAAAAUAAUAAUAAUAAUAAUAAUUUUAUCAUAAGGAUAUUUGCACUAGGUGUUUAUUGCAGCUCAAUUUACAAUCACCAAGAAGUGGAAAUAACCCAACUGUUCAUCAACCCAAGAAUUCAUUAAUAAACUGUGGCAUAUGUAUACCAUGGAAUAUUUUUCAUUCGUAAAAAGUAUGGAGAGUUUACAUCUUUUGUAUUAACCUGAUGGAUUUAAAACACAUUCUUCUUAAUAUGGAAAAGCAAGUAUCUUUUAUAAUACAAAGCCAGUAGACAAUAUAAUAAAUGCCCACACAAGAGAAAAACUCAACUCAAUUCAAACUGGGGGAGAGGGAGGAGAAAAGUGGCAUAGGGGAGAGGGGAGGUGGAUUUGCAUGCUCUCACCUAAUGGGCACAAUGUAAAGGUAUAAGGGACACUUCCUUGGUGUGUGACACAACUACAAAAGGGAUCUUAUCUAACAAAUGCAAACAUUGUAACCUAAUUGUUUGUACCUUCAU